UACGUAGGAGGCGAGCGUUGUCCGGAGUUACUGGGCGUAAAGGGUGCGCAGGCGGUGGCCCGCGUGGGCGGUGAAAGCUCCUGGCUCAACUGGGAGAGGGCCGUCCAGACGGGGUCACUUGAGGGGCGGAGAGGGGCGUGGAAUUCCGGGUGGGAGCGGUGAAAUGCGUAGAGAUCCGGAGGAACACCGACGGCGAAGGCAGCCUUCUGGAAAGUACCUGACGCUGAGGCACGAAAGCUAGGGGAGCAAACAGG
rnacentral:rRNA from 1 species